UAUAUGUCUGUGUGCAUGUGAGACAAAGUCACAAAUAUUGUGCUUACAUAAAUAGGGUGUCAGGCUUCUGAUCAAAUUAUCUUAUUUUUUCUUUAAGGGAUAAUCUCUCCGAUUGAUGAAUACUCAGUGUAUAAUAAUUAUCAAACUGCCACAGUAAGGUGGUUAUGGAUUUUGUAUUUGCCCAUGUUUAAUGAGCUUUACAACACUUCCAUCAGAGAACAUUACAAUAAAUCAUGCCAUUCACACAAGUUCUUACACGGAUUUAAUUGCAUCUUUGAAAGGUUUGGCAGAUACAUCAAGCCAGUUCAUUAAUGCACAGAUGAUUUCUUCACAUUAAGAAAGACACGUUGGAGCACCAUAAAUGUCAAGGCAGUUAUUACGCACAAAAAGCAUAAAAUGGCAACCAUCAAAAGGUGAGCCCUUAUUCAGUUGAGAUCAAAAAUAAAACUGCAGUAAUUCCUUUGUGUAAUAAUGGAGAAAUAUUAGAUUAUUUUAAGG
rnacentral:lncRNA from 1 species